rnacentral:lncRNA from 1 species
GGACGCGCGACUGAAUUUAUUCGGAAUCCUACUUGAGUAAGCGCAUGAUCGGGCAGUGGUCGAAACGCCCGCCUCCGUCUCGGCAGACGCGUAGCGGGGUGCGUUCUCCGCGGCCUCACCCGGCUCCGGCCCAGCUAGCCUUAGGUUUCUGUCGUUGCCUCACCCGGCUCCGGCCCCGGGGAUGACACCGCCAUCUGGCCAUAGCCUGUAUAUCAUCCUGAUCUCUCCCCCGCCUUCCGCAUGUCUCACAUCCAGCUGCUACUAAAUCAUGUCAGCUCUGCCCCAUGCAUACUGCCUGUCCUCCUCCUUCCCCACGGCCACCAUACUGGCACUUGUGCCUUCUGAGACCUGCCUUCCAGAGGAGUGCACAUGCCAGGAGUGUUCAGUGGGCACAAGUGGUUUUAUUGUUUCUGCCCGGAAGAGGAAGCCCUGGCAGCAGCAGGGACACAGAGAGGACACGGCGCUGCAUCCUGCCGGCAGUGUGGAUGCUGGUGGCGGGAGUCCAGGACUGUGAAGAGCUGUCAGCAUAUGAGCUGGAGCCGCUGAGGAGCUGCACCUAGGCCUGCAGAGGCCACCAGCUUGAGAAGGGGGUCCCAGCCUCACCGAUGCCGCUUUCGGAUGCUCUGCAGCUCCUGGUAGAUGGUGCUGAAGCUGGGCCGCUGCCCAGGCUCAUAGGCCCAGCACUGCUCCAUGAGCCUGAACACGGCAUCAGGACACAGCUCUGGGCAGGGCAGACGGCCCCCUGUGAGGAGAGGCACAGCACACCAGGCAUGAGGAGGGAGUUUGAGGGUCCUCGGCAGACUCUGGGGGAUACCAUGAGCCAUAGGAGCUGCUUAAGAUGCACUGUUCUGAAGGAUGCACUGUUCUCCACCAAGGGCCCAAAGGACAAAGAGGCCUGGCUUCUGAUCCUAAUCCUACCACGUGCUAGCUGUGUCCCCUCUGCCAGCCUUUUUUUCCAUCUGAGAAAGGGACAUAUUAAUCCCUACCACACAUGUAGUGAUGAGCAAAUGAAAUAACAUGUGACCUAGCACAGACCAGGUGCUCACUCAGUAGUAGCUACAGG